UCUGGCAUCUGUGCUUCCCAAACAGUCACCCUUAUGCCAUCUGGUCCUCUGCCCUAUUGAAACCAGAUCUCAGAGGUCCUCGUGAUUCUGGAACAAAAGAGAUUCAUAAGAGAUUAUUUAAGUCUAAGAAAUGCAUCGGAGAAUGAAUGGCUGCUACAGAAGAAGGACUGGCUCUCUCUCCCGUGCACGACUGCGGAACUGGGGUUCAAGAACAUUCUCGUGAAUUUCAGGCAGAUAGUAGCCUGGACACAUCGCCACCGGGAAGAAAUGUAGAGCGGAAGGCCCAUCAAUGUAUUAGCACAAAACACUUUCCAGUCCAUGUCGGUGACCAAAAAGGAACAGAGGGACAAGACCACACAGGGAGGCAUUCUGGAGGACCCAGGACACAAGAGCUCCGCUCUCUGUUUAGGAGUCUCCCCAAACCCUCGAUGCUAAAUCACAGGUUCCAUCUGCAUGGCUCAUCAAAAGAUCGCAAAUUUCAGCUCUUCCCCCAGGUUCCUGACGAGAACAUUCAACCAGAAAUAAGGCCGCUGGCAAUGUGAUUCAGGCUUCACUGGAUUCUUAAGGUUGUUUCCCAGGGAUAUUUAUAAGAGAAAUGUAAUGUUGGAAAGAAAAAUGUGUUGUGAAUGGAUGGCAGUUCUUUCUGGCCCCAGAUCUUUAUUAAGGCAAAAACACUGCAGCAGCAGAGAAUU
rnacentral:lncRNA from 1 species